rnacentral:rRNA from 1 species
CACGUAGGCGGCCAUUCAAGUCAGAGGUGAAAGCCCGGGGCUCAACCCCGGAACUGCCUUUGAAACUAGAUGGCUUGAAUCUUGGAGAGGCGAGUGGAAUUCCGAGUGUAGAGGUGAAAUUCGUAGAUAUUCGGAAGAACACCAGUGGCGAAGGCGACUCGCUGGACAAGUAUUGACGCUGAGGUGCGAAAGCGUGGGGACAAACA